UUGCUGGCAGUGCGUCUUAAGCAUGCAAGUCAAACGGGAUGUAGCAAUACAUCUAGUGGCGAACGGGUGAGUAACGCGUGGAUGAUCUACCUACGAGAUGGGGAUAACUACUAGGAAAAGGUAGCUAAUACCGAAUAAAGUCAAUUAAUUUGUUAAUUGAUGAAAGGAAGCCUUUAAAGCUUCGCUUGUUGAUGAGUCUGCGUCUUAUUAGCUAGUUGGUAGGGUAAAUGCCUACCAAGGCGAUGAUAAGUAACCGGCCUGAGAGGUUGAACGUCACACUGG
rnacentral:rRNA from 1 species